rnacentral:rRNA from 1 species
AAAGUCCCCUUCGGGGGAUAAGUAGAGUGGCGUCCGGGUGAGUAACACGUAGGUAAUCUACCUUCGGGUGGGGAAUAACCCAGGGAAACUUGGGCUAAUACCGCAUAAUGCAGCGGCACCACAUGGUGACAGUUGUUAAAGCGGGGGAUCUUCGGAUCUCGCGCCUGAAGAGGAGCCUGCGGCAGAUUAGCUAGUUGGUAAGGUAACGGCUUACCAAGGCGACGAUCUGUAGCCGGCCUGAGAGGGCGGUCGGCCACACUGACACUGACAUACGGGUCAGACUCCUACGGGAGGCAGCAGUCGGGAAUUUUGGGCAAUGGGCGAAAGCCUGACCCAGCAACGCCGCGUGAAGGAUGAAAUCCUUCGGGAUGUAAACUUCGCAAGAAUGGGAAGAAUUAGUAGGGGCUAAUACCCCCUAUGAUGACGGUACCAUUUGUAAGCUCCGGCUAACUCCGUGCCAGCAGCCGCGGUAAUACGGGGGGAGCAAGCGUUGUUCGGAUUUACUGGGCGUAAAGGGCGCGUAGGCGGUCAGCACAAGUCAGUUGUGAAAUCUCCGGGCUUAACUCGGAAAGGUCAACUGAUACUGUGCGACUAGAGUGCGGAAGGGGCAACUGGAAUUCUCGGUGUAGCGGUGAAAUGCGUAGAUAUCGAGAGGAACACCUGCGGCGAAGGCGGGUUGCUGGGCCGACACUGACGCUGAUGCGCGAAAGCCAGGGGAGCGAACGGGAUUAGGUACCCCGGUAGUCCUGGCCUUAAACGAUGGAUGCUUGGUGUCUGGAGUUCUAUAGUCUCCGGGUGCCGUAGCUAACGCGUUAAGCAUCCCGCCUGGGGAGUACGGUCGCAAGACUGAAACUC